ACGGAGGGUGCAAGCGUUAAUCGGAUUUACUGGGCGUAAAGCGUGCGUAGGUGGUUUGUUAAGUCAGUUGUGAAAUCCCAGGGCUCAACCUUGGAAUUGCAUCUGAUACUGGCAGACUAGAGAUCGGUAGAGGUUAGUGGAAUUCCAGGUGUAGCGGUGAAAUGCGUAGAUAUCUGGAGGAACACCAGGCGAGAGCGACUAC
rnacentral:rRNA from 1 species